CUAUUACACCCUCCGAUCCAUAUUAAUUGUCGAAAUAUUACAUGUAUCUAGACAUUUUUUAGGCAUAGAUACAUCCAUAUUUGGGCAAAUUUGAGACAAUUAAUAUGGAUCGGACGGAGUAACUG
rfam:Brachypodium distachyon strain Bd21 chromosome 4, whole genome shotgun sequence.